AGCCUGGAAACUGGACUCACCUGGCUCGGAACUGCUGAGCACGUGGAUGUUUGUGGAGCGGGGAUAAAGUCUGGCCUGGAACUUCCACGAUUUGAGCUGGAAAUGGCAAUAAUUAAUUACACGUUCAAGAAAAAUUGGCC